rnacentral:tRNA from 1 species
GUGGUCGAACGCAAAGUGGUUAGCGGGCAGAUUGUGAAUCUGCUGUAACGAGUUCGAAUCUCGUCGAUCACCCCA